GCGCCUAUCGUCUAGAGGCCGAGGACACUACCCUUUCACGGUAGCAACCGGGGUUCGAAUCCCUGUAGGCGUG
rfam:Snodgrassella alvi wkB2, complete genome.